rnacentral:rRNA from 1 species
GACGAACCGAGCGAACGUUGUUCGGAAUCACUGGGCUUAAAGGGCGCGUAGGCGGAUUCUCAAGUCCGGGGUGAAAUCCCACAGCUCAACCUGUGGAACUGCCUCGGAUACUGGGAGUCUCGAGGGUGGCAGGGGUAUGCGGAACUAUCGGUGGAGCGGUGAAAUGCGUUGAUAUCGAUAGGAACUCCGGUGGCGAAGGCGGCAUACUGGUCCACUUCUGACGCUGAGGCGCGAAAGCCAGGGGAGCAAACGGG